UACCACUUCUUCGCUUCGCCCGACAGAACAUCUCCGACGCGUACAGACUUUCCACAGCCGGGAUCGCAUGACGUUGACUCAAACAGAAGAUAGGGUACCGGCCAGUAGAGCACCCGGCCGGGUACCCAGGUGACCGGAGAAUAGGCGCAGGGUCGGGAUGAAAACACACCGAGUGGAUGGAGACACUUACCAAAAGAUAAACGCCAGAAGUCUCCUCCUCGACGUCAACUUUUGUUCCACUGGUCUAGACCACCGGUAGUCCGUCGACGACAGCGGCCGCCACCACCUUCAAAACUUCGAAGAAUCCACGUCCCGAUGCGCGCAGCAGCACCGACAUAAGCUACUACCUGCUUCUUCUCCUCUUUCUCCCAAACAGACUACCGUACCUCACACUCCUCCUCUACCUUCUCUCGAACGGCCUCCGCCCCCUAGAUGCACAAAACGGUCUUCUAGUCGGCCAGUAAUGUAGAGCAGUCAGUCAGUUCGCACAACAUCUACGUCAAUCGUUUAAACUACUUAUGUUCUCUACCGAGCAUAGACUCUAACCUAAACCACCUUAGGACUUCAACGGCUACUAAUGUUCCUACCUAGACUUUUACUCACAAACCCAGUACUCCUUCCAUUUACGAGCCACAGCACAUUAACUUUAUCUACUACUGUUCUUCUAACGAAAGUGUCAGCUUCUAAAGGUGUUCCAUAAGCUGUAGGGCACACCCUUGGCUCUGCACUCACCGUCCCUACGUGUUUAACGACGAGGCCGUUAGGUCAAGUAUUUCGCAUGUUAACCAUACCUACCAAGUCAACGAGUCUUAAACUUUCGCCAACUUUCGAAAUAUUUGUCUCUCGAAAGACUCCUGAGAUCAUUCUACCUCUUCCUAACGAAAGUCUAACGUAAAUAUUAAAAACACUACCCAAUGGACUAUCGUGGCACGUGCUUCAUACUGAGCUACUGUUAACUAAAGACCCCACGAGAUCGAUUGGGCCUCAACUAACGUGUUAAGUUAACCACACUCAUACCAUAGGUCUUCGAAGACCGUCGACAUAGCUUCCACGUCUCACUAAUAGUUUCGUUUCGUCGGUGCCAGGUAGACAAACGGACGGUGAAGAAGAAGGUCUACACGUUCUAUAAGAACGAGCUAUUGUAACUCGAACCCAACAAGUUGUACGGUGUGUGACAUAAGGGCGCGCACGUUGCUAAACUUGUCUUUUGUGAGUCAGAAUACAGGGACGUCCCAACGCGGGCCGCCUGGUUCAAACGAUAUGCGCCAGCCUACACUCCUCGGUUCCGAAGUAACUACGGCUACAUUGCAGUCGGAGUCCCUCUAUGGGUUUACAACUCCACAGACAGUCCUACUUUGUCGCCUGAGGCCUUAACCAACAUGGACGUUGUUGCUGUGCUCGUCUGAGUGAUCCACUACGCUCCAGCCGCAUAGUAAGAGAACCAGGCUCCCUAAAACGUUUAGUAGAAGCUGCCUGAACGGUGCCACUAGGCCAAGAGCUCCUCGACUCGGACUACGACUUUGUUGUCUUACGUUUCACGUGCGACUCGUACAGCAACGACGCCUUAUCCUACGUCCGGCUGUACGAAUCAAAACGACUAUCUUAACAUAGUGAACAAGCCCUAGCUACGUCUACAACACUCUUCGCGCCGUCCAGUUUCACAUAAAGAAACUUAACCAGGCUGUUCAGUAGGCUUCUACGCGUCCCAUAUCUCGUCUUCCGCAAUACCUGCCAACGAGCAGCAGAGCUCUACAGACUACUCCUUCUAGACUUCUACCCGAGUGGUCUCGUGGAUCUGCGCCGUGGACACAUACUAUUAGGUCACCAACUGUUGGUUCAGUACCUUCUUUCCUUGGGUUGUGAUCUAUAUUAACCUGAAAUACGCGUCCAUUAACAACUAUGCCAAACAUCAGACAUACUGUGACGACUUCUUCUCGGCUUACAUCAGAUAAAACCCUUAUACCUUCGCUGCAACGGGUUUUCCUUCAUACGCUACAGACGUUCAAAAUGUGCGUCGGGUACCGAUUCACCCACAGAUGGUGUCGGAGGCGGUUAGAGAAACCACUUGUUCAAGUCGUGCACCUAAAGGUCCCUGUUACUAAGACUGGAGCUGUCAGAGACCAAACUCGUGUUUAAGGGCGCCUACGAUGCACAUUUACGGCGUACACACUUCGUCGUUAAAAAGCCCCGAGUAGGUGAACUCGUGCUCCAUCGACACGAACGUGAUUCCUCCAAAUUAGUCGAACUACAGCUUCGGGUUCGACACAGGUUCAUAGAAAACACCUCCCUUCAAGAACUUGGCCUAAAGAGCUGUGUACGAGAACGGCCCCUUUUCCAACGUGUAUAGUUCCGCCACGUCAACGUUUAACGUGUACGCGUGGUACUGUAUUGACGUACGGUCUGCAAGAUAUGGGGUCAGUAAGAACUAGUACCUACCCGUCGUAUAUACACCCUGUACUAGUCCUUCCUCUAAGUUUAAGAACUAGGCAACACACGAGUCGGACACCCUCGUCUUUUCGCCGUACGCUGCGUGGUCCUCCGACACAGAGUCUAUGUACUUCGUAACAAGUCAACAGAGUUACUCAAGAAACGUUCUACCGUAACAUGUAGUCUAUCUACCUUCGCGUUCAGGGGUUUCUAUUGUGCACUCCAAAAGUGUUCCCUACUCAGACCUUACACGUACAACGUACGUUAAUCCGUGAUACUACCCCUUUUCUACUGCACCGGUGACUGCUUCUCCUUAAACCUAUGAAAGGCUGUUUGUUGACAAAAGCUCCAUAAAGCAGACGUCCUACUCGUUCCCUUAAAACAACGACUAGUACAGAAUGCCCGACGAGAACUUCUUCUACUCCUUACUAGAGUAGACAAACUAACACAGAACACACCUGAAUCCUAAACUCCUGCUUCCUACUAUACACACUACACAACGUACUGAGAACGUACCUUCGUACAUCAAAAGAUUUAAUCCUAACAACUACUGCACCGUUGGAAAAAUUCAUACACCUGCAUACAAUACAUACCUAGAACACAAUAAACACCAACUUGACUAUACUAAAAUUCAAAAAAGCAUUGAUCUAACAUCAUGUAAAAGACAGUAUGUUUCCUUAGAAGCCUUACUCACUAAAUGUAUAGAUCUCUGCUUGCUCUUAAAAAAGUAUAGCAAAGUCCUACAGCCGUAUCCCCUCAAAAUAAAAUACACAUUCACGCUUACAGCUCACUCAUGACCUACCCGCACUUCUUUACGUAAAAUUUUCUAAACAUCAAUUCUAAAACAAAUGUUCACUACGCAUUAAUCCUAACGAUAGGUUAAAAAAAUUCUACACGCCAAUGUUGAAGGUUACAGUUUUCAUCCAGUCGCUGCUUAAAAAAAAACAUCAUCGUAUACAACGUCUGACUACCGUCAGAAAAAAAAUACCAAAUACAACCGAACAGUUCAAAAAACGAAGUAUACAUAAAGCGAGAACCCCUUUAUAUUUAGUAAAUAAAAGCGUGUUCACAUAAAACCAAAAAAAAUACUUGAUCAUUUACCAACCUUACACAAACCACGUGAAAGAUCUCUCUUUUAUUAGCUCGGCAUAUAUUAAGAAAGGUUCAUCCAAAUCCGGGUAAACAAAACGGUCUUAGACCCCUAAGAGGGUCUUAGGCUGGAAAUGGGUCGAAGAGGGUCUUAGAAACUCGGGGUAAACAAAAGUUAGAACAGAUUAAUCUUGGAUUGAUCUAUCCUAACAUUUUGUUUGUCCCGAGUUUCUAAGACCGUCUUCGACCCAUCCCCCAGCCUAAGACCAUCUUAGACCCUAAGACCGUUUUGUUGACCCGGAAUCAGUCUCUAUGAAUGAUAAUGCAAACGCUACGGUCGUACACUUACAACAAACGAAGUAUGCAUCACACCAAAUAUCCUUUCCGUCAGGUUCAAUAAUUGUUAAAAAAAGUCAAUAAAAAAAUCUUCAAAAAUUACCUUAAUAGAAAAAUGUAGUAGAGCUCACACAACACCUUUCUUCACAAAUAAGACUUACACCGUGUAGACGAAGCUAUAUGAAACUUAAAAUAUCUAAACAAGUGUGUGUGCGUAGGUACAAAACAUCCUUUUUAAUAGAACUUUAAACGUUAAGGAACUCUUUCUCCGUUAGAACCUAACCUAGAAACAUAAAAAACCGCCGUGGGUGUCGAACUUCUAUAGACUGUACGCCCCGCAAACGGUCGGCAGCACGUGCUCAAACAUCCCCUCAAACCAACGUAGCUUGUAACUCUUCUUAGACAGAUACAACCCUAAGAGGCCCAACAACCGCUUAAGGAGGACGUUCGUCGUCGUCUUUACCAUUCCACCAAGACCCGUUACACCACUAUUCUCGUGUGGACGUCUUCGUGUCUCUAAUCUCUACACUCGUCUUGCUAGUCUCUACAGUAAUUUUGCUUCUCGUGCCCCACGUUCCUCCGUCCUCCGCAGAGAAUACUAUUCUAAGACACUACGAGGUUGUUAUGCACCAAGUCCAUCUGCUCGAAGUCCUCAGGAGAGUUCUAUCAAAAGACACACUAAACAACUACCUUGCUCUAAAUCAGAUUAACAGAACUAACUACGUGGAAAGAACAACCUCUCUUUGUCUUUGCCACCUAUUUAAAAAGUAUUCCAUAACUCUGAAAUGGCCGGUCGACUUCUUCACAAAGUCGCGUACGUAAACGUACACCUCUGAGGUAUCCCACGACACAGACGUUCCGACAUAAUCCUUUGGUUAUAUAUUCAAUCUCUAACAUGUAUCCUAUCGGCUGAAAGUGGUUGUCCUCGUUCUGUUCUGCAUGCCCAAUACUUACAACCUGAUCUUUCUACCCGUUGUAAGGGUCACUUCCUAGCGAGGGGAGACGCACGAAGACGAUUCCGAACAAGAACUCCUUCUGAGCCACUACCGUGUAGAACAGCAGGACCAUGUGGAUGCUUUUAAGUUCCAAACCGCAGUCUUCUUCUCCGCAUGUACUAUUUCACGUCUAAUCAAACCAUACUCUUGUAUGCAUGGGACCCAUUGAUGAUCACGACAUCGACACGUUAGGUCUCCCGACCCCAAAUCUACGUAUCGUACACACAAUUCCGCUCGAAAAAGACGUCGUCGUUCAGCCAAGUACUUGAGAAACAUGUACCGUCUCCGCUGACUUCUAUCCAGCGACCUUUAUACCAAUUGUUACGACGACGUUGCAAGAACCACAACACGACUGUCCUAAACGGGACCUCCACACACUAAAGAUCGCUUUACUUAACGCCAAAAAGACUAGACUAACGUCUGGUGUCUCGACUACUUGACUAAUCGUCAUCGGACCUGUCACACGUAACUUUAGUACGAGCGGACAUCAUCCUAGCCUACAUAUAUGGUAGAUCAGAGACUGUCACGGGGAAGUCGAAAACAGACG
rnacentral:rRNA from 1 species